rnacentral:siRNA from 1 species
AUGGUCAUCCCACUAUGGUUAC